AGGGGAAGUUGGACUGUGCUUUGCUGUAGUGGCUACAAAUUCUGCCAUUUCAUAACUGCCCUGACUCAUCUUUCCCAGACGACUAAACAGACAAUUUUCAAUUAUCUUCAAGCAAAUAGUCACACCAAAGACAGCAAAAAUUCUAAGAUGCUGCGGAGCAGUCUGUUCAAAUUAGGUUCUGGCAAAAAUCCUAGAGUGCAAAUAUCAGGCAUUAUCGUUCGAAGGACGACUCCCGUGAUUUGGAUAGCAGAAUGCACCAGGCAAGCUUAACGUUCUACUGAAAGUUGAAAAGGCUGCCUUGUGUUCCCGCCUGGAUGGAGGGUCAUCUCACCUCUAUGUCCUCAUUAAAAAUGCAUGAAGUUAAGUUAAAAAUUGUAUACUAGCAAUAUUAGCUCAGCGAUCAUACAAUGAGUGCUAUGUU